AGAUUGAACGCUGGCGGCAGGCCUAACACAUGCAAGUCGAGCGGUAGAGAGGUGCUUGCAUCUCUUGAGAGCGGCGGACGGGUGAGUAAUGCCUAGGAAUCUGCCUAGUGGUGGGGGAUAACGUUCGGAAACGGACGCUAAUACCGCAUACGUCCUACGGGAGAAAGCGGGGGACCUUCGGGCCUCGCGCCAUUAGAUGAGCCUAGGUCGGAUUAGCUAGUUGGUGAGGUAAUGGCUCACCAAGGCGACGAUCCGUAACUGGUACUGAGAGGAUGAUCAGUCACACUGGAACUGAGACACGGUCCAGACUCCGUAACGGGAGCAGCAGUGGGAAUAGUUGACAAUGGGACAAGCCUAGACUCGACGCCAUCGCCGCGUGUGUAGAAG
rnacentral:rRNA from 1 species